GUUCCUCCUGAACAUAUACUAAAAUUGGAACAAUACAGAGAUGAUUAGCAUGGCCCCUGCGCAAGGAUGACACGUAAAAUAUUCUAGUUUGAAAAUUUUCA
rnacentral:snRNA from 1 species